GAUGAAGAACGUAGCGAAAUGCGAUAAGUAAUGUGAAUUGCAGAAUUCAGUGAAUCAUCGACUCUUUGAACGCACAUUGCGCCCGCCAGUAUUCUGGCGGGCAUGCCUGUCUGAGCGUCAUUUCAACCCUCAUGCCCCUAGGGCGUGGUGUUGGGGAUCGGCCAAAGCCCGCGAGGGACGGCCGGCCCCUAAAUCUAGUGGCGGACCCGUCGUGGCCUCCUCUGCGAAGUAGUGAUAUUCCGCAUCGGAGAGCGAUGAGCCCCUGCCGUUAAACCCCCAACUUUCCAAGGUUGACCUCAGAUCAGGUAGGAAUACCCGCUGAACUUAAGCAUAUCAAUAAGCGGAGGA
rnacentral:misc_RNA from 1 species